rnacentral:lncRNA from 1 species
CAGGAUAUGGCGGUUCCUAGGUUAGGGGUCAUAUCAGGGCUGUAGCUACCAGCCUACACAACCACAGUAGAUCCGAGCCACAGCUCAAGACAACGCCUGUAUCCUUAAAUCCACUGAGUGAGAUCAGGGAUCAAAACUGUGUCCUCAAGGCUGCCAGUCAAAUUCGUUUCCACUGAACCACGACAGGAACUACGUUUUCUUCAAAUACUUUUCUAUAAAUCCUAAAGCAAUCAUUCCAUAAUUAGUGCAAAGUGUUCCUUAAUGGUAUUUCUUAUUCAAAAGACACAUUUGGGAUAAUUUGGGGCCACAUGAUCAAAAACAAACAAGCAAGCAAAAUACCUAACUCAACCCUGCAUGUGGCUUUAAUAAUAAAAAUGACUACUGACUCCACCCAAUCAUGAACUAUGUAUGAAAUACUUAUUUUGUGCUGGAGGUUUUAUUUAUGUCAAUUAAUCCCCACAAAAAAAUCCUAAAAGGUGGGCACUAUUAUCCCAAUUGCACAGAAGAAGAUGCUGAGGUUCUAAAAAGGUUAAGAACUGAGACUAAUCAAAGUUCAUUUUGUUAACUUUCUGAUCAUAGCAUGAAAGCUAAAGUCUAAACAAGUUUGAACCACUUGGUUUCAAUAAUGUAAACAUAUCACUUUGAAAGAAACAUACUUACAUAUGUUGAGAAAUAAUAAUAGUGAAUGAAAACUCUCCAAACAUUCAUAUAAAUGCUAUGUCUAAGCUAUUUUGAUCUUGGGCCAGAAAUAAUGAAAUCAACCAAAGUUAGAGUUAAGUUCAUUCAAUAUCAAGCCCUUGGAGACUGGGUCACAAACUCAAGUUUCCUUUUUGGCAGAAGACAAACUCUUAUAAAAAUCCAAAAAUAUAAUGUUCACAAAUAAGCUUCAGCAUUAUUGGCAUUUAGAGUUUCCAUUUUAUGUCUUCCUGAAUAAAGAUCUACUUAUAGAUGCCACAAACAAUAUCCUUCUCAAUUUUUACUGGUGCAUAAAAUUUGAAAAGUCCAUUUGCUCUUUAUGGAUUGAUUUUAGACCCACUUGGCCUGAAAGAGUGACAAUAUUAUAUAAAACCCAUCCCAAAGUUGUGGUUUUCUUAAUCCCAAUAGGACCAUUCUGCUUAUUUUCAGAAAGUAUGCAUUAUUUUCAUAAAGUUCUGUUUUUGAAAUUGGCCAUAUAUGCAUUCUACCAUAGAGUUCACCUGAAGAACUAGGAUUUCUACUGUAAUAUUCCUUUUUCUUUCCUUAAUUUAUUCAACAAAUUCUGAGUUCCUAAAGUGAUUAAUUUGUGCUAGGCACUAGACAGAGAGCCCCAAACCCUGCUUUCAGGAAGCUUGUAGUUUAUAAAAGAAACAAUUUAAUGCCCUACCUCCCACUUAACAUGGGGAUGGAGAAGCAGACCUUACUCCCCCACU